rnacentral:rRNA from 1 species
GCAGUAUAAGUGAAACCCAGGGAACUGAACCAUCUAAGUACCUGGAGGAAAAGAAAUCAACAUGAGAUUCCCUUAGUAGCGGCGAGCGAAAGGGGAAGAGCCUAAACCCGCUUUAUGUAGAAGGCUUACACUGUUGUAGAGUGGGGGUUGCAGGGCUGCAUCUGGCUGGAUGUAAGGCUGGCCGCAGAGUUAAAAAACUCAAGUUAUAGUGGAAUGCUACUGGGAAGGGCAACCGGAGAGGGUGAAAGUCCCGUACACGAAAUGAUUUGAGACUCUGUGGGUGCGGAACCUAAGUACCGUGGGACACGAGAAAUCCUGCGGGAAUCUGGGAGGACCACCUUCCAAGGCUAAAUACGUGAUAGCUACCGAUAGUGAAGAAGUACCGUGAGGGAAAGGUGAAAAGAACCCCGGGAGGGGAGUGAAAUAGAACCUGAAACCGUAGACUUACAAGCGGUCAUAGUCCGGCUUCGGCUGGAUGAUGGCGUGCCUUUUGUAGAAUGAGCCUGCGAGUUACUGUGCGUAGCGAGGUUAAGGCAUAGUAGUGCCGGAGCCGUAGGGAAACCGAGUCUUAAUCAGGGCGAAUUAGUUACGUGUAGUAGACCCGAAGCCGAGUGAUCUAUCCAUGUCCAGGCUGAAGCUUGAGUAAAAUCAAGUGGAGGGCCGAACGGUAGUCUGAUGAAAAAGGCACCGAUGAGGUGUGGAUAGGAGUGAAAGGCUAAACAAACCCGGAGAUAGCUGGUACUCCCCGAAAUGGCUUUAGGGUCAGCCUUAAAGAUAAGUGUUGCGGAGGUAGAGCACUGGAUGGACUAGGGCCCUUCACCGGGUACCAAACCCAACCAAACUCCGAAUGCCGUAACAUGUUCUUUGGGAGUGAGACUACGGGCGAUAAGGUUCGUGGUCGAGAGGGAAACAGCCCAGACCGUCAGCUAAGGUCUCAAAGCUUGCGCUAAGUGGUAAAGGAAGUGUGAUUGCAAGGACAGCCAGGAGGUUGGCUUAGAAGCAGCCAUACCUUAAAAGAGUGCGUAACAGCUCACUGGUCGAGUAGUCAUGCGCCGACAAUGUAACGGGGCUAAGCUUGAUACCGAAGCUACGGAUUAUUGAUUUUAAUUGAUAGUGGUAGGGGAGCGUUCUGUGUACUGACGAAGGUGCACUGUGAGGUGUGCUGGAGGUAUCGGAAGUGAGAAUGCAGGCAUGAGUAACGAAAAGACGGGUGAAAAACCCGUUCGCCGAAAACCUAAGGUUUCCUGGGUAAAGGUAAUCUGCCCAGGGUUAGUCGGCCCCUAAGGCGAGGCCGAAAAGCGUAGUCGAUGGGAAACUGGUUCAUAUUCCAGUACCUCUGAUAGCAGAUGCUGAUGGGAUGACGCGUGAGGCAAAGCGCAGCCGGAGAAUGGUAGUUUCGGUCUAAGCAGUUAGCCGUUGAUGCUUGCAGGAAAAUCCGCAAGUUUGAGGUGAGCUGUUAAGGCGAGUUGGUCAUUACGGUGGCUAACGAAGUGUGUGGAGUCAAGGCGCCAAGAAAUAAUCUCUAAGGGGUAGCUAUCAGGGACCGUACCGUAAACCGACACAGGUAGUUGGGAUGAGUAUUCUAAGGCGCUCGAGAGAACCCGCGUUAAGGAACUCGGCAAAAUACAUACGUAACUUCGGGAGAAGUAUGGCCUUUAAUGGGGGAAGGUAGUGAUAUCGGAACUUGUUGGAGGCCGCAGAGAAUAGGCCCAGGCGACUGUUUAUCAAAAACACAGGUCUCUGCUAAUCUGCAAAGAGAAGUAUAGGGACUGACACCUGCCCGGUGCUGGAAGGUUAAGAGGAGAUGUUAGUGCAGCUUGCUGCACGAAGCUUUGAAUUGAAGCCCCAGUAAACGGCGGCCGUAACUAUAACGGUCCUAAGGUAGCGAAAUUCCUUGUCGGGUAAGUUCCGACCUGCACGAAUGGUGUAACGAUCUGGGCGCUGUCUCGACGCGAGACUCGGUGAAAUUGAAGUAUCGGUGAAGAUGCCGAUUACCCACGGUUAGACGGAAAGACCCCGUGAACCUUUACUGCAGCUUGGCAUUGGAACCUGGGCUAUGAUGUGUAGGAUAGGUGGGAAGCUAUGAAGCGUGGUCGUUAGGCUGCGUGGAGCUGAACAGUGAAAUACCACCCUUUAUAGUUUAGGUUUCUAACGCUGGCCUUAUAUCAGGUUAGUGGACAAUGCCAGGUGGGCGGUUUGACUGGGGCGGUCACCUCCUAAAGAGUAACGGAGGUGUGCGAAGGUCUCCUCGCGCUGGUUGGAAAUCAGCGUUACGAGUGCAAAGGCAAAAGGGGGCCUGACUGCGAGACUGACAAGUCGAGCAGGUGCGAAAGCAGGUCUUAGUGAUCUGGCGGUGGCGAGUGGAAGCGCCGUCACUUAACGGACAAAAGGUACUCCGGGGAUAACAGGCUUAUCUUGCCCAAGAGUUCACAUCGACGGCAAGGUUUGGCACCUCGAUGUCGGCUCAUCGCAUCCUGGGGCUGGAGCAGGUCCCAAGGGUUUGGCUGUUCGCCAAUUAAAGCGGUACGUGAGCUGGGUUCAGAACGUCGUGAGACAGUUCGGUC